CUCACCGGCACUUGAAGUCGCAGGAGCCGGCCGCCAGGAGCACGUUGUUGGGGUGCCAGUCCAGGCUGAGGACGGUGGAGCGGAUGGGCUUCUUGAUGUGCUUGCAUACCCACCUGGACGGGCAGGGGCAGACACGGCAGAAUGGGAACAGGAAUCCUGCCUCCCCCUGGAUGUGCCGAGACGGUGAGACAGGAUCUGCCACACCCGGCACCCCACAGGUGGCCACGAUGUGGCACCCCCUGGCCGCUACAGCGUGAUGGCACCCAGCCAGACCAGUGCUGAAGCACAGACACGCUCCCGCCUCAGGCGUCCACACUGGCUGUCCCCGCGGCCUGCGACACUCUUCCCUCUGCACCUGCUGCUGUGCCACCCUAGGCUCCAGUGCCACCUUCCAGGGAGCCGUCCCCAGCCCAGCUCAGCCUCGCCUGCGGAUACGGCGAGUACACACCUUCAUUCAUGCUUCUUAUCUGGUUCACUUCCUGCCCCCAGGGCUGCAAGCCUGGCACUCGGUAGAUAAUCUUUCUCGUCUCCCUGCCGGAGUUCUCAGCCUUACACAGCUAUUUUAAACACCAGCAGCCUACAUCCACCAAGGCGGCUCGGGCAGGAAUGCCUCGGCCACGCUGGGUGGGAGACGCUGGGCUCCAGCCGCGUCGGUGCCCCCAAGGUGGUGGCACUUGUAACUUGGCUGCCUCCCUCGUCAGACUGGCAGGUGUUUGCGCCCAAGGGCGGCACCUGGGGAGGCUGCAGCUCACCUUGGGACAGGGGCCGGGACUGGACCAGGAGCCCCGGUGCCCACCUGGCCCCUCGAGAGCUGCCGGCUCGGUUGGAGCUGGCCCAGGGGGCGCUGCUGAUCUCACAGACACCUGGUUUCCCUCACCGGGGGUGUGUGUGUGUGUGUGUGUGUGUGUGUGCCGACUUCAGACCCAGGUGGGAGGCAGGGGCUGCGGCGCCCAGGGCUCAGGGACCAGGCACAGGCACCCGAGGAUGCCCAGCAGAGCCCGGUGAGCCCUGCCCGUCCUGUCCGGCCCCUGACCCCUCAAGGCGAUGCAAGCACUGCUCUCCUUGGUCGCAGGGCCCAGUAGAGUCCCCGGGAGCAGCACAGGGCACGUACAUGCGUGCACACGUGUAGGGGGCGGGGUCGCGUCUGGUUCCCCCAUGCCCAGAGUGAGGUCCCAGGAGGGUCCUCAGCCUGGCUGGACUGGGCCGGGGCCAGACGCAUGCAGCCGCGCGAGCAAGCAGGCGGCCCCCGGGGCGCCACCUCCCUGCCUGUCUCCUCACAAGGUCUCUUUGUGAAGUAGCCACCGGAAGCGCCACCUCAGAACCCUUGGCCAGCCCAGCAGGCUGCUGGGUACCCUGGGCCGGGCAAUGGCUGCUCACAAAGGGGACAGGGCACAGGGGAGGGGUGACCAUGCUCGCCCGCCCCACCCCCACUGCCAAGGUCACCACCCCGGGCAGAAGCAGGCCAAGGCCGGAAGCCCACCUGCAACACUGUGACAUCCGGCCAGGGCCCGGAGGAGGCCAACCCUCCCCCAUCCCACCCCAGCCCGCAACCACAGCCCAGGAAGCAGGAACUGGGGGGCUGGUGGAGCCCAGACUCGGGGGGCAGAUCCCAGUGUCAGGGCCUCGGCUCUCACACACGCCGUGUGCCCCAGGCCGUGAGGACGGAGCACAGCCGCAGGUCCCCGUGGGGGAUACAGCCGAGAGGACUUGGGGAGCACUGUCCCCCAAUUCCUGGCACACACAGGUUCUCAGUGGGGGCAGGAGGUUCAGGGGGAGCCUAUGUGCCAAUCACACUGCGGCAGGAACUGAAACAGAACCCACCCCUUAAAUGGGCAGGGCAGAGACAAGGGGGUGGCAGAGAGGAACGGUCCACUUCCCCAUGUGGGUGGCUCCCGCGGGGGCUCAGCGAUGACGCCCCGGCUGCAGCUUGGACUAAGGAGGAAGUGGGAGUCAGAGGGCUGAGCGGGGGCUCCAGACAGACCUGGGAAGCAGCCCCCAAGCCCCGCCUUUCUGCCCACGACUCACUCCUUCUCAAGAAGUCCCCUAAGCCUAGGACACGGCACAGGGGCCGGGUGGGGCAGGCCCGCCCGCUGCCAGCCCCCUACUGCAAGAAUGCAGCUGGGGCUGUGCCUACCGCAUCAGCACUCAGCCGUGGCGCCGCGGGAGGCAAAGGCUGGUGGUGGCCGUGGCCCCCAGGACUCCCAGCCACACAUCACCAUGGCCUCCUUGGCUGCUGAACUAGAGGGGGGGGGCUCUUUCAAGGCUGUGC